AUGCUCACUGCAGCAACACAUAUACUAAAAUUGGAAAGAUACAGAGGUUAGCAUGGCCCCUAUGCACAGAUGGGAUGCAAAUUUGUGACACAUUUCAUAUGUUU